UCCACCCAUAAGACCAUUCACUUUUUUAAGUUGCUGCUCCACUUAUGACAGAGUAGAAAAACUAAAAUACUUUUAUGCUCCACAUCUGCCUCAGUUCUCCCCAAAGCCUGAGUUUUAUUAAGGUCUAUGGCAGCCAGACAAGCAAGAGGACAUCAAGAAAGACACUGUGCCAUUUAGCAAAACACAAACAUUGAGCUCUGCAAACUGAGCCAGCAGAUCUACUCAGAUGAGAAAUAACAUGUAAAGAGAUUUACGAAGUUCGAAGUAAAAGAAGCAGUGAUCUGUACCCGAUGGAACAAUAGUCUUGUUGGGGAGGCAACAAGCUGUGAUGAAAUUAUAAAAUUGGGUUCUUGAGCUCUGAAAUUUAAUCUGGAACCCAAACUGCAAUUUUUCUGAUCUUUAAAUCUUAAAAUCUACAAAAAUUUUAAAAGAUUUUGUGAAUUUCAGAUUAUUAUUUCAAGGCAGCAGGAGAAAAGAAAGCAAGCUCUUUUCAAGGACAGAGUCAAGGUACCUAAGGGAAAAUCAACCAGACAAAGAACAACCAUCUGCUCUGUUUCCCACGAAAAUGUAAAAACAUGUUAUCUCACAGGAAAGGAAACAUAAAAAAGUUCUUAA